CACACACUGCCUAGCAGGAUCACAAGGAACAAGGUAUGAAUGUCAGAGGAGCUGAAUGAGGGCCCUUCACAGAGGCAUGAUAUAUUAGGAGCUGAACACACCUUUUUUUUGAAACAGAAUCUUUGUUCAUGGGAACUGCUAGUCUGCAUCCAUCUGCCACACUUAAACCCUGGACCCUGUGAAUAAUCACUGCUCGUUGAGUGCAGCUGAGGCAAAAUAGGCAUACAGCUCUGCAAACUUGUGCAUAACCAUCAGGUCGUGCCUUAGGCCAUUGAAACGAAGGGGUUAAUCUUUUCGCCGCGGUGAGUCACACGAUGUCCCCGCGUCCUCCGGGAAGUUAAACUCGCUUGACAGCGCUAAGGAGCUGCAGAACAAGCAUCGUUCCCUUUUGGCGCCCAACAAGAAAUCUCACCUCGAUGGAGAAACCUGUGCCUGAA